rnacentral:misc_RNA from 1 species
CUGUGAUUGAUGUUGAUGCGUAGUUGUCAUUGCACUUGCCUCAUUGAAUUUCGAGUUGGCAUAUUUUUGUAUUUGUAUUUGUGUUGUGUUGAGUUGAGAGUUGAGCUGAAAUUGAAAUAAUUCUGGCAAGGGCAGAGGCCAGACAUUAUUAUUGUUAUGUUAUUUGCCACAGCCAUCGAGGCAUGAUGGCGUGGGUUUAUGGUGAGCGUCAGCGAAAAUGGACAUUUUUGUGAGUACAUAGUUGUAAUUUGUGAAGUGGCAUAUCUGCAGGCAUAUUCUCCGGAAAAAAUGAAUCUAUAAUCAAACUACUGAAUUUAUAUUUACAUGUAAUUGUGCUUUCGAUAAAAAUGAAUCAAGAAACAGUCAAAAUACACAAGUAAAGGACAUAAUGUGUUAUUUUCGAAGUGACCGAAAAACAUACUGACCUACCAUACAACAUUUAAACUUAUAAGCAGCAACUGGCAUUGUUUUUGCGAGGAAUUGUUGAUUUAAAUAUUAAAAACAUCAAGACGUCAAAAAUUCAUUUUACCCAAAAUAUGGACUCAUAUUGUUUUCGAAAUGGCCAAUUCAAUUUUACACCCAGGUUACGAGCAGACGCAGUGCCAUCACAAUGUCUGAUAUAUACAUGGAUUUUUGGUUAUUAAGGAGAGCUUACAAACACCUCAUGAUUAUAAACACCUCAUGGGUUUGAUUUUCAGCUUGCCACCAAAGCUUUUCUGCCGAAGAUGCAAUUUUAAGUUUGGUCUUUUUUAUCGGAUCAACACUGAUGAAUAUACAAUUUAAGACAACAGGAUUCAAAAGCAGAAAUAGCCUCGUGUGUUUAGAAUAAACAAAGAGACACUGACGAAUAGUAUUCAAAAUCUUGAUCUAAUAUAUAAAUAUAAUAAUGUACUCCCUAAAGUAUUGUUAAUAUUAAAUGUUGUUUAUGUUG